rnacentral:lncRNA from 1 species
AUGCAGGACAGGAAUCCAACGAGGUGUUCCGUCCACUUCUACUGUUGCGUAUCCACGUCCCCACGUAAUGAGCUGGGCGGGACCGUGCCACUGAGGGUCCGGCAGGAUACGGUAACGACCCCACGGGACGGUGAGCCAUCGGUGAAAUCGGACGAUCUGCAAAAAAGGAACUAAGAAUAUAAGAGACAUACAAGAGAAAGGUAAGCCGUCUAUCCUUAGGAGGAUUGGCAAGUACAGCACCAGAGAAGCCCGUGAAAGCCACCUGAAAAGGAACAGAGGUUUGUAGGAGUCUUUCUACUUCUCCCGGAGACAAAGGUAAGUAAAGUGACACAGGGUCUGUCCUGGUAAGUUGAAGAACACGGGAGCGGGCCUUGGCAAAUAAGUCUGCAGUAGCUUCAAUCAAGCUGUAGAUCUUCGGUGGAGUGUGUGGAAGAUGAAGCCAUUCUACUAUAUAGACUUGAUUCGGACCGGGAGAGUAAAUAAUUCCUGUUGGUAAUGCCGUAGGAGAUGAAGGCAGAAAAAUAGCAGAGGCAACCGGAGAGGUAUCAUAAGGAAUCCUAUCCACGGAACGGUCUCGUAGUGCCUGGGAGAUCAGGCGAAAAACACGCUGCAUAUCUGAAGUUACCGGGAUGAUGUCAGCCGGAGAAGUGUGUCCUGCUAACGCAGCAAACAAGGGUGACAGAUCUUGUGUUCGAAGUUUAAAAUAUGGUCGUAUCCAGUUAAUAUUUCCUACUAAACUUUGCAGUUCUACAAGAGUGUAAGUAGUUUUAAACUUUAAAUCAGGUAAGACGGGAAGUGAGGCUGACUCUGAAAGUUUGUGUCCCAGAUAGGUGUAGGGAGGUGAUGAUUGUACCUUCUCAGGAGCUACAACAAGUCCGUAUUCAGUUAAAGCUUUUACUAAGAAGGUAGUAUGAUGAGCAGUUAUUUCUUUACCAGCAAUAAGAAUAUCGUCCAUAUAAUGGUAAACUCUUAGCUGCGGAAAAGCAUUCCUAAACGAUUGCAACAUGGUGUGAACAAAUAUUGACACAGAGUUGGCAGAUUUUCCAUCCCUUGUGGCAGCAAUGGAACAAGCAAUAGGAGAAGGUUGAAACAGCUUAGGAAGUGGCUUUUCAUGAAAUAGCUUGUCAUGUUCAUCCCCGGGGAACAAAUUAAGGUCAUCCCAGUCGUUAUUAGC